AAAUUAGGGAAAUUUGAAAUUUUUGGCAGUUUGCAUUUAUGAAUUAGGGGAGUUUGUUAAAAUAUGUGAAUUAGCUCAUUAUAUUUAACUUUAAAAGGUUUAUUUAUUUCCGUUAUUAAAUUUUAUAGAAGUUAAAUAGUUUAUUUAAAAUAUUUCAGGUCAAGAUGUAGCAUUUUAUUGUUUUGAUUAACUACAUUUUUUUAAAAAUGGAUGUGAGGGAAGAAAGUUAAGUUGAAAUUGAACUUGGUUGUAACUUUUUUUAGCAAGAAAUGGUGAAAUAGGGGGCUU
rnacentral:rRNA from 1 species